GAACCACCAGCCACUGAUAGAGCAAAGAGCUGCAACCCAGCUAGCAAGCUCGGUGCUCAGUACUAGUAGUAGUUUCUCGUCGUGCAAUAAGAGCCACAAUAUCCAGAGCAUUGUAAGGCUCAAGAAGGUACUUAGAAGAAGCCUUGGCAUGUAUGUACGCAUACACUGGCACAAGGUUUCUUGAAGGCAGGAGAAGCUCUGGAGGCUAAUCGCAUGAAGAUCUGUAUGGCCGAAGAGCAAAGACUGGUACACAAAGGUCAGCCAAUUAUUCACGGAGAGACAAUGCCCACGUGAACAAAGCAAAGAUUUGAUAGAUUGCAGAAGAUUGAAGUUUGUCGGGGCACUAUCUCUCGCUCUUAUCCAUCGCCUAGAGGGACACACAUGCAUCCCUACUAUAUAUAAGAUAAAGAGGUGCAUUCUCCCGGAAGCCAUCCAGAGAGCUGCUCUCUCGCCUAUAAAAGGAGACAUUUGCUGCGAAAAGAGACACAACACCAGACGGAGAAGAACCACCAGCCACUGAUAGAGCAAAGAGCUGCAAUCCAGCUAGCAAGCUCAUUGCUCAAUAGUAGUAGUAGUAGUUUCUCAUCGUGCAAUAAGAGCCACAAUAUCCAGAGCAUUGUAAGGCUCAACAAUGUAGUUAGAAGGUAAUUUUCUUUAGCUUGUGUAAUCCCUUCGGGGCCUCCCGAAAGGGAAAGCCAUAUGUAAAUUAUGUUGUGGAAAUGAUGUAGUUUCUUGGUUUCA